UACACACCGCCCGUNACACCAUGGGAUGGGGUNCACCAGAAGUAGGUAGGCUAAACCGCAAAGGGAGGCCCGCUUACCACGGUACNCUUCAUGACUGGGGUG
rnacentral:rRNA from 1 species